AUAUGUUUGCCAACACUCUGGUGCCAAAUCUUAGUCUUGAAUAAAUCAAUUCUAUGCCAUAUUUGGUUCCUAUUUUGGUGCAAACUAAAUUGAAUAUUUUGGAGCUGACUACUCACCAUUGUAUUCCAUUUUCCACUAUGGAUACGAUAGGUCCAUUUCAUUAGCUCACAU
rnacentral:snoRNA from 1 species